rnacentral:rRNA from 1 species
CUACGGGAGGCAGCAGUGGGGAAUAUCGGACAAUGGGCGAAAGCCUGAUCCAGCCAUGCCGCGUGAGUGAUGAAGGCCCUAGGGUUGUAAGCUCUUUCGCCGGUGAAGAUAAUGACGGUACCGCAAGAAUAAGCCCCGGCUAACUUCGUGCCAGCAGCCGCGGUAAUACGAAGGGGGCUAGCGUUGCUCGGAAUCACUGGGCGUAAAGGGUGCGUAGGCGGGUUUUUAAGUCAGGGGUGAAAUCCUGGAGCUCAACUCCAGAACUGCCUUUGAUACUGAAGAUCUUGAGUCCGGGAGAGGUGAGUGGAACUGCGAGUGUAGAGGUGAAAUUCGUAGAUAUUCGCAAGAACACCAGUGGCGAAGGCGGCUCACUGGCCCGGUACUGACGCUGAGGCACGAAAGCGUGGGGAGCAAACAGGAUUAGAUACCCCAGUAGUCC